rnacentral:rRNA from 1 species
UACGUAGGGCGCAAGCGUUGUCCGGAAUUAUUGGGCGUAAAGAGCUCGUAGGCGGUUUGUCGCGUCUGGUGUGAAAACUCAAGGCUCAACCUUGAGCUUGCAUCGGGUACGGGCAGACUAGAGUGCGGUAGGGGUGACUGGAAUUCCCGGUGUAGCGGUGAAAUGCGCAGAUAUCGGGAGGAACACCGGUGGCGAAGGCGGUUCUCUGGGCCUGUACUGACGCUGAGGAGCGAAAGCGUGGGGAGCGAACAGG